rnacentral:rRNA from 1 species
UACGUAGGAGACAAGCGUUGUCCGGAAUUACUGGGCGUAAAGCGCGUGUAGGCGGUAGGCCAAGUCUGCUGUGAAAUCGCCCGGCUCAACUGGGCGCGGUCGGUGGAAACUGGUCAACUGGAGGACGGUAGAGGCGAGUGGAAUUCCCGGUGUAGUGGUGAAAUGCGUAGAGAUCGGGAGGAACACCAGUGGCGAAGGCGGCUCGCUGGGCCGGUCCUGACGCUGAGACGCGAAGGCGUGGGGAGCGAACGGG